CAUCCUGUGCAACCGCACGAAAAUCGUAUAUAAGUAGAUAACUAUCUCACGAUAACUGGCGAGUCUUCACAGAGGG
rfam:Streptococcus uberis strain CAIM 1894 contig_007, whole genome shotgun sequence.